rnacentral:rRNA from 1 species
AUGCUCUUAGAGGGGAGUACCGUCUUCAUGUAUCGUUCCAAUUUUAUUCAAUAUCCCGAAAGGGACACGGCAAGCGCCGCAUUGGACCCAGCUAGUUUUAAACAUGAAGGAAAUCUGCUGAUGUGGCAUGUUUGUUCCGUCCAAAAAUCACAACAUAGGGCACAUGCACAAUCCAUGCCACAUGCCGGGAAAGCAAAAGAAAUAGAUCAAAUCAUUGAGGAAACCAAUGAGAGAAACAACACAAGCAAGCAGAUGCAAAAUCAAAACAAAAUCGCAAGCAACACAAUAAGAAAGAAAAAAUAA